GAUGAACGCUGGCGGCGUGCUUAACACAUGCAAGUCGAACGGUGAACGAGGGAGCUUGCUCCCUCCGGAUCAGUGGCGAACGGGUGAGUAACACGUGAGCAAUCUGCCCUGGACUCUGGGAUAAGCGUUGGAAACGACGUCUAAUACCGGAUACGAGGCGUGGGGGCAUCCCCAACGCCUGGAAAGAACUUCGGUCCAGGAUGAGCUCGCGGCCUAUCAGCUAGUUAGUGAGGUAACGGCUCACCAAGGCGACGACGGGUAGCCGGCCUGAGAGGGUGACCGGCCACACUGGGACUGAGACACGGCCCAGACUCCUACGGGAGGCAGCAGUGGGGAAUAUUGCACAAUGGGCGCAAGCCUGAUGCAGCAACGCCGCGUGAGGGACGACGGCCUUCGGGUUGUAAACCUCUUUUAGCAGGGAAGAAGCGAGAGUGACGGUACCUGCAGAAAAAGCACCGGCUAACUACGUGCCAGCAGCCGCCGCAGUAA
rnacentral:rRNA from 1 species